rnacentral:rRNA from 1 species
ACAAUGGCCGGUACAGACGGACGCAAAGCCGCGAGGUGGAGCAAAUCCUAAAAAGCCGGUCUCAGUUCGGAUUGCAGGCUGCAAUUCGCCAGCAUGAAGUCGGAAUCGCUAGUAAUCGCAGGUCAGCAUACUGCGGUGAAUACGUUCCCGGGCCUU